AUUGAGUUUGAUCCUGGCUCAGGAUGAACGCUGGCGGCGUGCCUAAUACAUGCAAGUCGAACGAGGUGCUUGAGUAGCAAUACAAGAGUAUCCUAGUGGCGAACGGGUGAGUAACGCGUGGAUGACCUGCGGCAAAGUGUGGGAUAACAGUCCGAAAGGAUUGCUAAUACCUCAUGUGGUUAUUGGAAUUAGAAACUGAUAACUAAAGCAGCAAUGCGCUUUGGGAGGGAUCUGCGUCCCAUCAGCUAGUUGGUGAGGUAACGGCUCACCAAGGCUACGACGGGUAGGGGACCUGAGAGGGUGGCCGGGCACAAUGGAACUGAAACACGGUCCAUACACCUACGGGUGGCAGCAGUAGGGAAUAUUGCUCAAUGGGCGAAAGCCUGAAGCAGCAACGCCGCGUGUGCGAUGAAGGCCUUCCCGUCGUAAAGCACAAUUCUGAGAGAUGAGAAAGGACAGUAUCUCAGGAAUAAGUCUCGGCUAACUACGUGCCAGCAGCCGCGGUACGACGUAGGAGGCGAGCGUUAUCCGGAUUCACUGGGCGUAAAGCGCGUGCAGGCGGCUCGGUAAGUUGGGCGUGAAAUCUCCUGGCUUAACUAGGAGAGGUCGUUCAAUACUACCGGGCUUGAGAGUGGUAGAGGAAGAUGGAAUUCCAGGUGUAGUGGUGAAAUGCGUAGAUAUCUGGAGGAACACCAGUGGCGAAAGCGAUCUUCUGGACCAUUUCUGACGCUCAGACGCGAAAGCUAGGGUAGUAAACGGGAUUAGAGACCCCGGUAAUCCUAGCCGUAAACGAUGUAAACUUGGCGUCGGUGGCUUAAACUCCAUCGGUGCCGCAGCUAACGCGAUAAGUUUACCGCCUGGGGACUACGAUCG
rnacentral:rRNA from 1 species